GGAACAGCAUUAGCUUUCACUAUUUGUCUUGCCACCAGUGUGUGUUCUCAAAUAUAUUUACUAGUAGACAACAUAUUACUGGAAUUACGAUAAUGUACAAUUCCCUAUAAGUUACACACAUUAGGAAACUUGGCCUCAACAGGAUUCACUAACCUCCCACAGUAACUGUUGAUCACCAUUGACCAUUAGACGCAAGAACACCUUGCAAGGUCAAAAAUUGAUGCCCUACUACAUAUGGUUCACAUAACUAAGGAAAAUGGGAAAAAGUAGAAGUAAAGAAUAGAAGAAAAUUCUCUAGCAAUGGGGAAGCCACUUAUCUCUCCCCAUGCUUGUAACAGCACUGUACAUACUCUUCUCCACCAAUAUUCAUAAAAUCCCAACAUCACCAACUAACCAAAUUCUUGCUCUGGAACUUGUACAAAUUAGCUUAUAUGCACAAGCGCAUGCUCAAAGAUAGUUGAUCAUAACAGGGACCAAAAUGGUAUUCACGAAUCUUGAAAUAUUACGAUCCAUUUACAGCCAUUUCAGGAGAUGACUUUGGUUGUAUCAACGGACAGUCUUCUUCGUGCUCCCUACUAUCUGGAGAUUUGUGCAAGCUUUCAGAAAUUUUUUUAGGUGAAGUUGCUUGUUUGUUGGCAUGAUUUUCAAAAUCAGCAUUACCAUUAUUAGAAAGACUCCCUUCCUCAUCAUGGUUAGCCUCAACAGAUCUCUUGUUUUCAUCAGAUUGAGGGCUACCUGGUGCAGCACUCCCAUUACCAGCAGGACUUUCUGUAGUUUUGGAGGGCAACACAGCUUGACUUAAGGUAGAGCAUAAAGCAGCAAAAACAGUGUCCCUUGAUUUAGAACCCUUAACAACACAUUGCAACCUUUUUGGCUCAGGGUCUUUUUUGGGAGCCACCUUCCGUUUCAAUGGGAAAGAGUCUGCUCCAUCUUCAUCAGAAGUAUCUGACUGCUUCUUAGGUGGUGGCUUAUAAUCUUCAUCGAUGUCGUCAUCCCCAGAAUCAACAACUCCCCCGGAUCUAUCAGAUGUGUAGCUCGGAGCAGAUCCAUUCGGCACAGCCAGUUGAGACUUCACUCUGCUUGCAUUCGCUCCAGAGGCUGAUGUAGAAUCUUCCUCAUCACUCUCUUUGUUGAAAUAAUCUUCUUCUUCUUUCUCUAAACUACGCUCAUCAACUCGUUUCCUUGGGUCUAAUAAAUUACCAACACUUCUAAUCC
rnacentral:misc_RNA from 1 species